rnacentral:rRNA from 1 species
GCAAAGGUAGCAUAAUCAUUUGCCCCUUAAUUAGGGGCUGGCAUGAAGGGACAAACUCUAUUGUUCUGCUCCGGAAGUACAAAGAAAACUUAUCUCUAGAUGAAGAAUUCUAGAUUCAAAGGAAGGACCAAAAGACCCUAUAGAGCUUGAUGUCUAAGAAAAACUCAUUACAGAACACGUUUCAUUGGGGCGAUGAACCUCUAAAUACGAUCUUGAACCACUUCUACCACUCCUUCCACAUAGACCCUAGAGAGAAAAAGAAAAAGCUACCUUAGGGAUAACAGUCUAAUUUUUUCUAUUAGCCCACAUUAAAGAAAAAGAUUGGCAC